GAAUAUUGGACAAUGGGCGCAAGCCUGAUCCAGCCAUACCGCGUGAGUGAAGAAGGCCUUCGGGUUGUAAAGCUCUUUUGUUGGGAAAGAAAUCCUGUCGGUUAAUACCCGGUAGGGAUGACGGUACUCAAAGAAUAAGCACCGGCUAACUUCGUGCCAGCAGCCGCGGUAAUACGAAGGGUGCAAGCGUUACUCGGAAUUACUGGGCGUAAAGCGUGCGUAGGUGGUUUGUUAAGUCUGAUGUGAAAGCCCCGGGCUCAACCUGGGAAUUGCAUUGGAUACUGGCAGGCUAGAGUGCGGUAGAGGGUAGUGGAAUUCCCGGUGUAGCAGUGAAAUGCGUAGAGAUCGGGAGGAACAUCUGUGGCGAAGGCGACUGCCUGGACCAGCACUGACACUGAGGCACGAAAGCGUGGGGAGCAAACAG
rnacentral:rRNA from 1 species